UACGUAGGUGGCGAGCGUUGUCCGGAUUUAUUGGGCGUAAAGCGCGCGCAGGCGGUCGCGUAAGUCUGCUGUGAAAUCUCCCUGGCUCAACCGGGAGGGGGCGGCGGAGACUGCGGGACUGGAGGGACCUAGAGGCCGGUGGAAUUCCCGGUGUAGUGGUGAAAUGCGUAGAUAUCAGGAGGAACACCUGCGGUGUAGACGGCUUUCUGGACCAUUGCUGACGCUGAGACACGAAAGCGUGGGUAGCAAACAGG
rnacentral:rRNA from 1 species